rnacentral:rRNA from 1 species
AUUGAACGCUGGCGGCAUGCUUUACACAUGCAAGUCGAACGGUAACAGGCCGCAAGGUGCUGACGAGUGGCGAACGGGUGAGUAAUGCAUCGGAACGUGCCCAGUCGUGGGGGAUAACGCAGCGAAAGCUGUGCUAAUACCGCAUACGAUCUAUGGAUGAAAGCGGGGGACCGUAAGGCCUCGCGCGAUUGGAGCGGCCGAUGUCAGAUUAGGUAGUUGGUGGGGUAAAGGCUCACCAAGCCAACGAUCUGUAGCUGGUCUGAGAGGACGACCAGCCACACUGGGACUGAGACACGGCCCAGACUCCUACGGGAGGCAGCAGUGGGGAAUUUUGGACAAUGGGGGCAACCCUGAUCCAGCCAUGCCGCGUGCGGGAAGAAGGCCUUCGGGUUGUAAACCGCUUUUGGCCGGGAAGAAAAGGCGCGGGCUAAUACCCUGUGUUUUUGACGGUACCGGCAGAAUCAGCACCGGCUAACUACGUGCCAGCCGCCGCGGUAA